UACGUAGGGGGCUAGCGUUGUCCGGAAUCAUUGGGCGUAAAGCGCGUGUAGGCGGUCCGGUAAGUCCGCUGUGAAAGUCGGGGGCUCAACCCUCGAAUGCCGGUGGAUACUGUCGGGCUAGAGUCCGGAAGAGGAGAGUGGAAUUCCUGGUGUAGCGGUGAAAUGCGCAGAUAUCAGGAGGAACACCAAUGGCGAAGGCAGCUCGCUGGAACG
rnacentral:rRNA from 1 species